GAUGAACGCUGGCGGCGUGCCUAAUACAUGCAAGUCGAGCGAACAGACGAGGAGCUUGCUCCUCUGACGUUAGCGGCGGACGGGUGAGUAACACGUGGAUAACCUACCUAUAAGACUGGGAUAACUUCGGGAAACCGGAGCUAAUACCGGAUAAUAUAUUGAACCGCAUGGUUCAAUAGUGAAAGACGGUUUUGCUGUCACUUAUAGAUGGAUCCGCGCCGCAUUAGCUAGUUGGUAAGGUAACGGCUUACCAAGGCAACGAUGCGUAGCCGACCUGAGAGGGUGAAAGGCCACACUGGAACUGAGACACGGUCCAGACUCCUACGGGAGGCAGCAGUAGGGAAUCUUCCGCAAUGGGCGAAAGCCUGACGGAGCAACGCCGCGUGAGUGAUGAAGGUCUUCGGAUCGUAAAACUCUGUUAUUAGGGAAGAACAAAUGUGUAAGUAACUAUGCACGUCUUGACGGUACCUAAUCAGAAAGCCACGGCUAACUACGUG
rnacentral:rRNA from 1 species